GUCUGUCUGUCUGUCUGUCUGUCUAUCUAUCUAUCUAUCUAUCUAUCUAUCUAUCUAUCUAUCUAUCUAUCUAUCUGUUUGUUUGCAUGUCUGUCAGUCUGUCUGUCUAUACUGACAUUCGUAGGCCAAGAUGAUUUCAUCCUCCAUUUUUUAAGCUGAGAGGCUUCAGAAAAUAUGAUGUCACUUCCUGUAAAUAAACAAAGUGACCAUCGAUGAUCCCUGGUUUUUGCAGUGCAUUGUGGGAUUUUUAGGAAGUAAAAGUUCAACUGAACCGGCAAUAAUUUACUUGCUAGAGAAAGGCAGAACUUAAAAUGAACGAAUCCCUGGCCAGGGCCCUGACGUCUGCACUACAGAGCUGAUCGAGAUGAUCGAGACGCAGCCAACGUGUCAUACUGAGAAAUGGAUUUAGCUCACAGGUGUCAAUAUGAGAAAGACCAUCAUUUCCACAUUUCCAUCCUGAUACAAUGCAACGCCAUCAGAGCCCAUCUCUGCAUGCUGCCUCUCCAGCUAUCAGAUGGAGACAAAAGGCAGGGAAUAGAGAAAGAGACAGGAAGGACAAUAGAGUGGAAGGACGCACAGGUGCUCUGAAUGCCAUUGGGUCGAGGUCGAGGUGGAAGAAUGUGCCAGCCAUUUAACAUAUAGAGAGACAUUUAAAUCUUGGGCAAACAUUAGAAGGUUGUAAAAGGGUUACAAGGUUAAGAGUUGCUGUGGAGAAUAGAGAGGAAGAACUGAAUUGCAUUAAGAGAAAAAUAGAGGGAGAGGAAUAUAUCUAAGAACAAGUGCACACAUCAGAAAUACACACACACACACACACACACACACACACACACACACACACACACACUGGCAAAUAUUUUACUGUUUCUUAUGUUUUCCUGUUGAGUGAUUAUUAUUAUUAUUACUUUUUUUUUGACAGAUUUGGCUUUUCUUUUUUUUACAAUUAUUAUUAUUAAUUUGAUACGAAUUUUAGUAAAUUGUCUUUGACAACUGAGA